rnacentral:rRNA from 1 species
AAAGAAAGAGGGGGGCAUGCCUAACACAUGCAAGUCGAACGAUGCUUUCGGGCAUAGUGGCGCACGGGUGCGUAACGCGUGGGAAUCUGCCCUUGGGUUCGGAAUCACAGUGAGAAAUUGCUGCUAAUACCGGAUGAUGUCUUCGGACCAAAGAUUUAUCGCCCAGGGAUGAGCCCGCGUAGGAUUCGCUAGUUGGUGGGGUAAUGGCCUACCAAGGCGUCGAUCCUUAGCUGGUCUGGUGGGAUGAUCAACCACACUGGGGCUGCGGCACGGCCCAGACUCGAAGGGAAGGGAGCAGUGGAGAGUAUAGGACGAUGGGGGCUAGCCUGAUACAGCAGUGCAGCGGAAGAGAUGAAGGCCGUAGGGAUGUAAAGCUAUUUUAGCCGGGAUGAUAAUGACAGUGCCGGGAAGAGAAGCGCCGGCUAACAACGUG